GGGGUAUUGUAAGUGGCAGAGUGGCCUUGCUGCCACGAUCCACUGAGAUUCAGCCCUUUGUCGCUCCGAUUCGUC
rnacentral:rRNA from 2 species